AGGAUAAACGCUGGCGGCGUGCCUAACACAUGCAAGUCGAACGCGCUUUCGGGCUUCGGUGCGAGAGCGAGUGGCGGACGGGUGAGUAACACAUGGGUACCUACCUUGGAGUGAGGGAUACCGGCGAGAAAUCGCCGACAAUACCGCAUAGGCUUCUUCACAAGGGAAGCAAAGUGACGCGAGUCACGCUGUGAGAUGGGCCUGUGGCCGAUUAGCUAGUUGGGGGGGUAACGGCUUCCCAAGGCGACGAUCGGUAGCUGGUCUGAGAGGACGAUCAGCCACACUGGGAUUGAGAACGGCCCAGACUCCUACGGGGGCAGCAGUGAGGAAUUUUCCGCAAUGGAGGCAACUCUGACGGAGCAACGCCGCGUGCAGGAGGAAGGUUUUCGGAUCGUAAACUGCUUUUCUCGGGGACGAGCAAGGACGGUACCCGAGGAACGAAGCCCCGGCUAACUACGCGCCAGCAGCCGC
rnacentral:rRNA from 1 species